AUUUAACGGCGCAAGCACACAUGAAUGCCUGCUACAGACCUGACCGGACCUGACACUCCGAGUGGGAAUUCUAAGGAAACCAACCAAAAACAGUAAAAUGUUUCCCAAAGGCCCCAACAAGCCAAACAAUCAGAGAGUAAGAGAGAGGAGCCUCCACUGAAGAGUGCCCCAAGUGGAGUUCCAGAUUCCCAAAGACAAAAGCAAGCACAACAAGCAAACCAGACGGACUCAGAGUCAGACAGCGAAAGAGAGGAGCCUCCAAUGAGGAGUGGCCCAAGUGGACCUCCAGACAUUUCCAAAUCAAGAGCCAACAGUCCAGUCCAGCCUCGCCUGAAACUCUUUCCCAGGACACUCCAGGGCGACAGGCGCAGAAACUUUCAAGCGUCGUGGUACAAUAUACACUCAUGGCUAGAAUACUCACAGACUCAAGACUCAGCAUAUUGCUAUGCAUGCAGGCAUUUUGGGCUCCCAAACACAGAGACAGUGUUUACAUCAGCCUUGGGAUAUAAGAACUGGAAAAAGGCAACAUUCAGAGAUGGAGGGUUUUGUGCUGUAGUGUCUUUUUGUCCAUAUAUGGAAUAAGAGGGGAAUAUGGGCUUACUUCUCUUCCUUUGGAAUGUUAUGCAAGGGGUCUUUCAAGGACCCUUACCACUCCUUUACUUGGCCUUGAAAGU